UCCGUAGGCGUGCAAUUAAGUCAGAGGUGAAAUCCCACAGCUCAACUGUGGAACUGCCUUUGAUACUGGUUGUCUUGAGUUACAGUGAAGUAGAUAGAAUAUGUAGUGUAGCGGUGAAAUGCAUAGAUAUUACAUAGAAUACCGAUUGCGAAGGCAGUCUACUAACUGUAUACUGACGCUAAUGGACGAAAGCGUGGGGAGCGAACAGGAUUAGAUACCCUGGUAGUCC
rnacentral:rRNA from 1 species